UCUUAUGUAUGAGCAAAGAAAGUAGUUUCUUGAGAUGAAAUCUACUCCCUGUAAAGAUUCUAUGAA
rnacentral:pre_miRNA from 1 species